rnacentral:tRNA from 1 species
AAUAAAGUAAGCUAAUUAGUUAAGCUAGUGGGUUCAUACCCCAAACAUGAUUAAUUCCUUUAUUA